GACGAACGCUGGCGGCGUGCUUAACACAUGCAAGUCGAACGGAAAGGCCCUGCUUUUGUGGGGUGCUCGUGUGGCGAACGGGUGAGUAACACGUGAGUAACCUGCCCUUGACUUUGGGAUAACUUCAGGAAACUGGGGCUAAUACCGGAUAGGAGCUCCUGCUGCAUGGUGGGGGUUGGAAAGUUUCGGCGGUUUGGGAUGGACUCGCGGCUUAUCAGCUUGUUGGUGGGGUAGUGGCUUACCAAGGCUUUGACGGGUAGCCGGCCUGAGAGGGUGACCGGCCUCAUUGGGACUGAGAUACGGCCCAGAAUCCUACGGGAGGCAGCAGUGGGGAAUAUUGCACAAUGGGCGGAAGCCUGAUGCAGCAACGCCGCGUGCGGGAUGACGGCCUUCGGGUUGUAAACCGCUUUCGCCUGUGACGAAGCGUGAGUGACGGUAAUGGGUAAAGAAGCACCGGCUAACUACGUG
rnacentral:rRNA from 1 species